UUUGAAAUGGAAAACUUUUCUAGUCCUAAAAUAAUAAUGAGAUUUAACUCUGCUUUAGACUCCCAUCUGUCCUUUCCUCAACCCAAGGCAGAGUAUUUCAUAGUACAGAUAUUUACAAAAUAUUUGGUGAGUUAUAAAGAAAUGAGUUAUGACAUUGUACUACUUUUCCAUUGAUGUGUAUUUGUUCUGCCCCAAGAUUUUAUCCCAGCACCUCAGUGGAUGUUCGUAAGGUACACUGAAGCAUCAGCAGAGCGUUCUCUCACAUGCUUACUUCUGACUCUCAGAAUCCAAAACCUGUUUUGAGUGUGACAAUACUUCAGAACAUACUGUCUGGCACAAGAUUUCCUUUAAUAAGUGAUUUAUUUUAACUCAGUUUUUAUGGACUGUUGUUGAAUCUGAAAACACCAAAGGAGUCUUUUCUUGUCUGAAGACUGGGUUCUUCCAGUGGUUAGCACCUGUGCCCGUAAUUAUCCCAUUUCAUGAAUGCGUGUUGGCAUGGGGGAAUUCCCUGCUCUUUGAGUGGAGCGAAAGUAACUGGUUAAGCUGUAGCAGCUUCCUUGUUUAUUUUUAAAAGUGAUGAUAAAACUUGAACUGAAAAAGGUAAAACUUGAACUAGAAAACUACUCUUGUAUGCACAGAAUGUUUAUAGUGACUGUGUUUAUGUGGGUUGUCAACACUUCUAUUAUUUAUAGUUGAAUUAUGUUGUUUAUUAAAUAUCCAUGUUUAUUAUUUUUAUAUUUUGAAUUUUUAAAAUAAAAUAGUCUUAAUAAAAACAGUUGUUAAUGUUUU
rnacentral:lncRNA from 1 species